rnacentral:lncRNA from 1 species
UUUGUAGUAAAAUAAAUUAAGGUUUAUUUUCAGAUUGUUUGCUCAUUUUUCUCAAUACCACUAAUAGAAUUACAAAACAAAUAUAUUCCUGAUACUCAUGCUUUCCCAUUUGAUUGCAAUACAAUAAUGGAAAAUAUACUCUUGUGACUGCUUUUUCCGGUCCGGGGUGAUGUCACAGACACCAUUGUUAUGUUGUGUAAUCAGAACCUUCAGAGACCAUCAUCCUUCUCACCCUGCAGAUGCUGAACACAGAUGAAGGGUAGGGACAAGAAACUCUUCCGAUUGUUUGUUUGGUUGUGGUUCCUGUUGCAUGUUGAGUUUAAGUUUUUCUCAAUAGAUGCAGAUGUUGUGGAGGCCAGGAAACAGGAUUGUCCCGUUUGUGCCACAGCCAUACAUUUUGACCCUUCCAUGCUGUCUAUGCAUGCAAAAAAGAAUGUGCCUGGGCACACGACUGCAAAAAUAAAGAGCCAUUUUGUUUUACAUUGGAAAGACAUCCAAAGAAGAUGUACAAUGACUACUCAAUUCCAGAUGGCAUUUUAAUUGAAGAUCACUUUGUUGUUAAAACGCCUCCCUUGAUCUAGACUUAAGGAACAGAAUGUAUGAAACUGGCCAUAAAAAGGGUGGCCAGUCUAAACCCUAAAAGACCAUUCUUGCAUUAAAAAGAAAAUAAAACACUAACCAGAAUUAAAAAGUCUUAUACA